rnacentral:rRNA from 1 species
UCGCCGCCGACGACGUCGCGAGAAGUCCACUGAACCUUAUCAUUUAGAGGAAGGAGAAGUCGUAACAAGGUUUCCGUAGGUGAACCUGCGGAAGGAUCAUUGUCGAUGCCUACAAAGCAGAACGACCAGCGAACCGUUUCUCAACACCCGGGACACCGGAGGGCGUUCAGCUGCCCGGUGUCCCGGCGCUCCGGAUGUUGAGGGUGCGAGCCACCCGCAGCGGAAGGAGCAUCAAACACACCCCGGCGUGCAAAGCGCCAAGGUACUCCAACGGUAGGGCGAGCACCCGUACGCCUGGACUCCAGUGCGGUCGGGUGUCUGCUCGGNNNUUGAAGAAAGCAGCGAAAUGCGAUAAUUGGUGUGAAUUGCAGAAUCCCGUGAACCAUCGAGUCUUUGAACGCAAGUUGCGCCCGAAGCCUUGGCUGAGGGCACGCCUGCCUGGGUGUCACGCACCGCGUUGCCUCUAAAAACCUUUUCCCCUUGUAACAUUGUGGCGAUGGUUUGGAUGCGGAAGAUGGCCUCCCGUGACCACGAGCCACGGAUGGCCCAAAUUUGUGCUGGGGAAGCAAAGCGCCACGGCGUUCGGUGGUCGGCAUAGCCCCUGAGGCAUUGAAGCCCGUGGUAGCCGCGAGAGUCCCCAGCGUAAGGCCCCGAUCAUCAACCAACGCGACCUCAGGUCAGGCGGGGCUACCCGCUGAGUUUAAGCAUAUCAAUAAGCGGAGG